UACACAGUGGUUUAGUGGUUAGCAUGUUUGCCUUGCACUGCUGGGGUUAGGGGUUUGAAUCCCACUGUGGAG